AGCACACACUAGGUUAAACUGUCCAGACGUGGGGUGUGUUCCAAGCCAGGAGAGAGAGAGAGAGAGAGAGAGAGGGAGGGAGGGAGAGCAAGAUGCUGUUAGAAUCCUCUUAGAACAACUCGGUCCAGAAACUUCUGAAUAUUCUUUAACUGGGAGCUCCAGGGGUAUGAUGAGCUCAUGUAAGCCAUUUUGAGAGCGAGGGCGAGUGAGUGAGUUGGCAUGCACCAGGACCUCUAUCGCAUCUGACUUCCUCUCACUUACCUCGGUGACGAUGGAGGAGCCAGGCGUGUCGUACACCCAGCCGUGCUGACAGGGCACCAGCGGCAGGUGGCUCCUGUCGGUGGCCAGGCUGGACAGCGGGUCCACGCAGUCGAGGGCGCUCUGGUUCCAGUCCACCUCGUACUGCCGGCACUGGCGCAGGAAGGCAUCGUCCCCCGGGCCGGGCACCGUGUAGUUCAGCUCCUCUGCCAGGCUCCAGCCGCAUCGCUGGCUCAGCUCGGCCACCCCGGGGCUCCGGCAGCGGUGGUCGGGGGUGAACCCCAGGAAGACGAUGCCCACGUAGAUGGGGGUGAAAGCAGUGGAGAGCAGAGCCAGGAGGAAAAAGGUGGCCUUCCCUGUGAGGUGUGACAGAGAGGGCACACACACUUGCCUCAUGUGCCCGCCCAAUGCGAUGUGCGCCUCGGUCUCAGGUCAGAAAUCCGGUCCAGCCCUAAGUGCCUUGCAGAUCCUCACCCUGGAUCCCUCUGCAAACAAUGCCUGCUGGGACUGCCUGCUUUGAUUCCCCUCCAAUUUAUCAUUCUGCUUUUUCAGCAUCUUCACGCCAAUCUGGUAUUCUUGUCUUUCAGCCUGGACGUGUCUGUCCUUCCGCUUCAUCUGUUUGUAAGGAAAGCAUAAUAUGUUCUCCAGAUCUGAGUCUAGAGGUGGGCUUCUCAAAUGCCCUCUUGCCUCCCUGGGCAAGAGCGCCACCUCGUUUCUUUCUCUUACGUUUUGGCUCCCUUCUCGUCAUCCUCCUAAAGCUUAAACCUGUAAUAAAAUCUUUCUGAAUCUUUAAAAAAAAAAGAAGAGGAA